AUUGAACGCUGGCGGCAGGCCUAACACAUGCAAGUCGAGCGGAUGAAGGGAGCUUGCUCCUGGAUUCAGCGGCGGACGGGUGAGUAAUGCCUAGGAAUCUGCCUGGUAGUGGGGGAUAUAGUCCGGAAACGGGCGCUGAUACCGCAUACGUCAUGAGGGAGAAAGUGGGGGAUCUUCGGACCUCACGCUAUCAGAUGAGCCUAGGUCGGAUUAGCUAGUUGGUGGGGUAAGGGCAUACCAAGGCGACGAUCCGUGACUGGUCGGAGAGGAUGAGCGGUCACACGGGAACUGGGACCCGGGCCAGGGUCCUACGGGAGGCAGCAGUGGGCAGUAGUGGACAAUGGGCGAAAGCCUGAACCAGCCAGGCCGGGUGUGGGAAGAGGGACUUCGGAUUGUAAAGCGCUUUAAGUUGUGGGGAAGGGCAGUAAGUUAGUACCUUGCUGUUUUGACGUUACCAGCUAAAGAAGCACCGGCUAACUACGUG
rnacentral:rRNA from 1 species